GCCUGGAUGGCUCAGUCGGUUAAGCAUCCGACUUCAGCUCAGGUCACGAUCUCCCAGUUUGCGGGUUCGAGCCCCACAUCAGGCU
rnacentral:tRNA from 1 species